rnacentral:tRNA from 1 species
AGAGGAAUAUUGUAAAGUUACUGCUAAUAAUUUUGUGUCAGUUAAAUCUGACUUUCUCUU